AGUGAACGCUGGCGGUAGGCCUAACACAUGCAAGUCGAACGGCAGCACAGUAAGAGCUUGCUCUUACGGGUGGCGAGUGGCGGACGGGUGAGGAAUACAUCGGAAUCUACUUUUUCGUGGGGGAUAACGUAGGGAAACUUACGCUAAUACCGCAUACGACCUACGGGUGAAAGCAGGGGAUCUUCGGACCUUGCGCGAUUGAAUGAGCCGAUGUCGGAUUAGCUAGUUGGCGGGGUAAAGGCCCACCAAGGCGACGAUCCGUAGCUGGUCUGAGAGGAUGAUCAGCCACACUGGAACUGAGACACGGUCCAGACUCUUACGGGAGGCAGCAGUGGGGAAUAUUGGACAAUGGGCGCAAGCCUGAUCCAGCCAUACCGCGUGGGUGAAGAAGGCCUUCGGGUUGUAAAGCCCUUUUGUUGGGAAAGAAAAGCAGCAGGUUAAUACCCCGCUGCUCUGACGGUACCCAAAGAAUAAGCACCGGCUAACUUCGUG
rnacentral:rRNA from 1 species